CCGGGAACCGGGCUAAUACCGGAUAACACAUGAAACCGCAUGGUUUCAUGAUGAAAGACGGUUUUGCUGUCACUUAUAGAUGGACCCGCGGCGUAUUAGCUAGUUGGUAAGGUAACGGCUUACCAAGGCAACGAUACGUAGCCGACCUGAGAGGGUGAUCGGCCACACUGGAACUGAGACACGGUCCAG
rnacentral:rRNA from 1 species